rnacentral:lncRNA from 1 species
CUCUCAUUCUCCCUUCCUGGGCUAUGUGUGAGUCAUAGCUAGAGCUAGAAGCCAAAGGGAGAGAAAAAAGACUAAAUCUCGAUUAAGAUCUGUAUACCAAAAACAGAUCAUCUUUAUUUCAAAGCCUGUUAGCUUAGAGUUUUGUUAACUUUAGAAAUGUAUUUGGAUUAAAUAUAUGUAUAAUACUUACACAUUAUUGAACAAGAUUAUUCUGCAAUCAACAUCAUUCUGUUUAUAACAUAUAUUUUCAAUAUUGUUUAAAAAUGAAUUCCGACUAGUCAGCUCCAGACUUCACCUCACAUUUUCUCUGUCUCAAUUUAAUUGACAUUUGUAAUAAUUAAAUCCAUUUGCUUUUCAGCAAUCCCCACCCUCUCCUGACAUCCAUUCUGCAGACAUAAAACUAUAAAACAAAACCUUCUGGAACAAAACAUGAGGGAAAUAAUGGAUCCAGGUUAAGCAAUCAGCUAUGAGCAAGAUACCUUUGAGAAGUGUAAAGAAAAACCAGAAAUAAAAAGCAGAGGUUAAAGAAUGUGCUCAAGGUUACUCUGUAAGGAAGUAAUGGAGCCAGAAUGCACGGACCAUCUGGAACCCUGAUACCAUCAGGAACACAAAAAUGGAUGCUAAUCAAAGAAGCCUCUUGAUCUCUUGAUCUUCCUGCUGCCUCAUUUCUUUAUUUAAUAGCAGGUGGACAUCCACCUCAGAGAGGGCUGAGAUACAGGCAGCUGUGGCAGAGCCAUCUGGCAAGAUUCUGCAUGGCCCUCUGUUUCAUGCCCUUAUUUUUAUUUAUUUAUGUUUUCUGAAACAGAGUCUCGCUCUGUCGUCCCAGCUGGAGUGCAGUGGCACUAUCUCAGCUCACUGCAACCUCCAUCUCCCCAGCUCAAACAAUUCUCCUGCCCCAGCCUCCUGAGUAGCUGGGAUUACAGGCAUGUGCCACCACGCCUGGCUAAUUUUUAUAUUUUUUUUAGUAGAGAUGGGGUUUCAUUAUGUUGGCCAGGGUGGUCUCAAACUCCUGACCUCAGGUAAUCCACCUGCCUCGGCCUCCCAAAGUGCUGGGAUUACAGGCAUGAGCCACUGUGCCUGGACUUCAUGCCCUUAUUCUUACUGUAACUUUAAACUGGCCUCUGAAUUUGGACUUGCUUGGACCUCCAAGCUCCUCCUUGUCUUCCCGGCCAAUCCAGCCCUCAGAAUUGCUAGCUGGGUUUGUUCUCCAGUCAUUUCCUAGUUUCCAGAUAUCUAUUCUCAUACUGCUGUGGACUCCAGUCCAGCACUAGGCCACUCCCUCAUAUUCUCUUCCCACUUACAAGGCAGGGUAGAGAACAUGGAAUCUGAAAGUUGAUCUCCUCCCCUGGAAGCUCACAGCAUAACCAGAAAUUCAAAACGCAGAUUUGCGAAACAACAGAUCACAAUACCAAGACAGCUUGUAAACAUUGAGAAUGUGUGAAGAUUGAACAAAGAAGCAGAGAGUUCAAAGGAAUUCAACAUAAAUCUAGGCUAUUUUCUAGGAGCCUGGUGACAGCUGAGCUUUCCUCUUACUGACAAGUCCAGAGCAAUGCAACCUCCCCAGUGGCCAGAGUUUUGACUUUCAAUACAGAUUAGCUAACUACCGACCAAUGAACAAGCCCAUAUGCUUUUAGCAGGUAGUAUGCAAAAGAAGCCCACAGGGCUUCUUUAUUUAUUUAGCUGGAUAAUGCGUCUCCCUAGGAUCUGUGCAGGGAGGAUAGCUACUUCUGAGGAUGCAAUGACAUGGCUUUUAGCUCAAACCUUGACAUGCCACCCCUCCCUCAUUCCUUUUCUUACCCCACAAUCAUUACCUUAAAAAGAAUUUUCACUUUAGAAAGUGACCUUGCUGGGCUGAAGCUUGAAGUUUUAAAAGCCCCCUAAGGUUUCAUUUUGAAAAGUCAUCAUGGACUUUAGAUUGACUUUCUCUUGAAGGCAGCUUAAACCUUGUUCAUUUGGGAGCACAAAAGAGAAGGUUUAGGAAUCCCAAGGCUUUAAUUGCCAGCUGUCUUAUUUCUCUGUUCACAUUUUUUUUCUUCUCUCCAGGAAGACUAAGAUGAGUGAAAUAAUUUCUUUCUUUUUAGUUAUCAUUGUAACAUUCAGGUUUUCCAUUACUGUCAAUUUCUUGAAACUUGUCUCAUUAGCAUUUUCAGAAGAGUUUAAAAAAACCUUUCAUCAAGGAAAAAAACGUGCAUGAUAUCUAAAUGCAAGUAAGUUGUCACGGGAUUUCAUUGACAUAAAUUUGUCCUCUCUUGUCUUCAUUUCUGCUUUCUCAGUUCCUCUUUUGAUAUCUUACAGCAAGCUUGUCCAACGCAGCCCAGAAUGGCUUUGAAUGAGGCCCAACAAAAAUUCACAAACUUUCUUAAGAACAUUAUGAGAUUGCUUUUUGGGAUUUUUUUUUUUUUAAGCUCCAUCAGCUAUCGUUAGUGUUAAUGUAUUUUAAUGUAUUUUAUGUGUGGCCCAAGACAAUUCUUCUUCCAAUGUGGCUCAGGGAAGCCAAAAGAUUGGACACCUCUGUUUAGAGCCUAGGAACCAUACCCAUGGCUCUUUACAGACUUGGAAAUAAGUGCCCUAGAUUAACAAAUAAAGCAUCUUAGAAGCAAGGUGUAAAGACGGACUGUGGGGCUUUUAUACCCCCUAAAACUUCUAAGAACAAAGAAAGAAAUGCCAAAAAGCCCAAUAGAAGCAACAAUAUAAAUAACAAAAUAACAUUCUAGAGGAAAUCAACCCAUGACUACAGGGUUUUCUGCAAGCUUCACAUAUUUUGUGUGUUUUUAAAAGAAGGAGAGCUGGGUUAGUGAGCAAACCUAAGGAGUCCUUAUUGCCAAUACAACUAGCAGGUAAGAGCUCCCUGGUGUUACACCUCAGUGAUGGAGAUUAAUCAACUCUUUAUUUCUCCUAACCCAAAAGUGCUUUUGUAAAUGCACAUGGAUUAGCACUAAGGAGCUAAUUAUCUUAUAAGCUGAGAUCACUUUUCCAAAGAGACAAACUCUCCCAGGAUCUAGAGCAGCAGCCUCUUUUAUAGCAUUUCCUGGAAAUGGAGACAUUGACUUGGAAGUUGCAUCAGCAAAUUGAGCAUGCAUUCUCCUGUGGGAACAUUGCAAGUUAGGAAAUGUGGGUCUCGUAUGUGGCCACAGAGAGAGAAGACAUGCAGACUGAAUGGUUUUCAAGCCAAAAAUGCAGAAUUGGCAAAAUCUAGAGUUGCUCACUCCUUAUCUCCUAGGUGAUGUUUUCUUCCAGCUCCAUUUGUUAGAAAUUGUGUAGUACCCACAGGACAUAGAAAGUAUUGUUUUAAGAGAGCCAGCAUUUUUGAAACAGGAAAGGUUCCCUUGUCCCCCUUGCAGGGCAUGCAAUGGGGGUGUGGCUCACUUCUUCAGUGCCCCGCUGCUCAAACCUCUAGGGGAGCAUACAGAUGGGCAGGCUGUGGGGCUCCAAUCCCACGGCAGUGUCUCGGGGUGAAAGUUUACAGGUGAAGCCCCAGUGGGCAUGUAUUAUAAGAUGCUCUUUUAGUUUGUCGUCUAUAGGCGGCUUGUAUUAACCAGCUCAGUUAGACCCUCUACCUUGUCACAAGGACAGAAGGUUUUCUGUAUCCCGGGUUCUUGCCUUGGUGUACUGGAAGAAUCGGAUCACAUGUGGGCUUGGAGAAUGAGUGCAAAGUUUUAUUAAGUGGAAGUAGCUCUUAGCCAAUGGGGGAGCCAGAAGGGAGAUGGUUUUCCCCUGGAUUUGGGCCACUCAGCAGCCCCGGCUCGCCUCGGACUGCCCUGGCCGAACUCUUCCUCAUCCUGCCAGCUGAUGGCCUGUCAGUGGGCCAGCCUCUGUCAGUGUGUUCUUCUGCUCACUAGCUUCUCUCGACGUCCUCUCGACGACCACUUGUUUCUUCUUCCACAGAUGUGUUCCUCUGGACAUCUGGCCUCCUGUGUGAGUGCUUGCUAGGGUUUCAUGUUUUUAUAGGCCCAGGAUGCGGAUGUGGCCCACCAGGGUGAUCUUGGGAAAUACAACAUUUGGGCAGGAAAUUCCUGUCCUCACCUAGGCCCGUAGGGGUGGAACCCUAGCCAGGGGCCCGCCUUUCUCUACCCAGCACUUCCCUUCCCCCUCUUCCUUAUUAUUUAAAGGGACCAUGCUCUUCCCUUCCCAGUACUCUCGUAUCAUUUUGACUGGAAAUUUCUGCUCUACCACUCUACUGCAAGAGAGAAGGUAGAACCUAGAGUACGAGUUGCUCACAAUCUGAGAUGAGCAGCUUCCUAGGCAGGGCUUUCUAAAUGUGGUGAAAACAGACAUUGAAGAGGGCACCUGGUUUUAAGCCUCUGUCAUUUCACAUACCCUUUAUUUACAAACUCUACUUUUUGUAUGCCCAUUGAAGUUUUACCUUGUUUUGUGAAAGAAAUUAUUUUGUCUAAUGAGGUUUAAAAAAUCCAUCUUCUGCAAUCCAUCAUAGGCUUCUAAAUUUUUUCCCCUAAUUCAAAAAAUAUUCAUUGACUACUUGCUAUGCUCCAGGCAUAGUUCUAGACACUGAGGAAUCAUUCAUGAACAAAAUUAACCAAAUCUCUGCCUUCAGGGAGUUUCCAGGCAAGGACAAAUUACAAAACAAAUAAAUUAUUAAGUUAUUUGAUGUAUUAGAAGGUGAUAAACAUUAUGGGAAUAAAUGAAUCCUAAAAGGAGGUUAGAGAGUUGAGGAAGGGGAAGGUUUCAUUUCAAAUGGGGUGAACAAGACAGUUUCACUAUAAUGAUGACAUUUGAAGAAGGAGAGGGAAUGAGACAUGUGGCUACCUGGGGAAGGUGGGGUGCGGGGCAGUGCGGGAAAUGAUCUAAGCAGAGGGAAAAGUACAAGCAAGCACCCUGAGAAGAGUUCAUGCCUGUAGAACAAUGCAUGAGGGGGAGAUGCAUAAGGGGUCACAUUGAACUUGGUAGCUCACUGUGAAGGUUUUGACUUUUUAUGUGAAGUAGGAUGGGACUCCUUGGAGAGUUUUCAUCAGAAGAGUAACAUGAUCUGACUUAAUAUUUUUAAAAGAGCUUCUGGCUCUAAUGUUAAAGCUAGACGCUAAGACGAUAGAGGUCAAAACAUGAUUUUGUAUUUUUCUGGCAAUUAAGAUAAAAUACAUUAGGUAAAAUAAAUUGGGUGGGCAGGCAUGCAGGGUUACAUCUAUAUAAUCUGUCUUCAAAUGCUUGUCUUGACUUCCCAGAUGCAAAUCUUUUUAUAAAGUCACCCUUCCCUCUUAAAUUUCCCAGAGUUUGAACCUGGAUCAUUCUUUAUCAGAAUAAUAUAGUUGUACUUUUUAUUGCUCUUGAAAAAUUAAAAGAGCCUAUAACCUUAAGGCCUUUUUCUUAAUGCAGAAAAGUAGAAGUUUUAACUAGUUUCUCUAAAUGCCUAAGAAUAUAAGAAGCAUUUUGAGACAGCUAAUGACCUGUAUAAGAUAAGAUAUCUUAAGUGUUCUGGCACAGAUAUUCCUAAGAACCCAAUUUGCUAACAAAUACAGCAGUGGCCAUAAUUCUAUAAAUGGGAAUAGUGGUAGGGAACCUAGUGGUCACCAUCCCAUUUUACAGAUGGAGAAGCAGCCCAAGCUCACACAACUAAGAAGUGGCAGAGUUGAACUUCAACUCUGCUCUGUCUAGCUAAAAGCCUUUCACCAGUGGUUUCUGGCUAGAGUAUUCUGCAGCUUCUUUUGUAGGAAGCUUAUUUUAAAGCAUGUCAAGAAUCUAAAUUAGCUUCUUAUUCCACAUUCUACACUUCCUUAGGAAACAAACUUUUAUUUCUCCCUUUAAAUAAAAAAAGCAAAACAAAAAGACAAGGGGUAUCAUUGGCCAUCAUAAUGGGGAGAGAAGUUGGAGACAGAAAGGCUAAAAUCAAUCAAGCUGAGAGGCCUGAAAACUAAUGCCUGUCCCAUGGUCCCCUCUUAAAUUGUCUAGUCACAGCACAGGACAGGCACCACAUGCCAAGUAACAUUACCCAAAGAUGAACCAAACCUGAAAAGGCAGCUGACUUUGCCUUCCCCAGUGCUAAAACUUGUUAAAGGAAUUUACUAAGUCUCAGAGGGUGUGAACUGAAAUAAUCUCCUUCAUCCUGAACUGAAAGAAGUGAUAAAAACCAAGAGACAGCCAAUGGCCUGGGUAGGGAGCAGUUGGCUUUCAGAAAAUAAAUUGAACACGUACAGACAACUCACACUUCCAACAAUUCCCCUCUGAAGAUGCAGGUGUCCUUCUGGGUAAAGUCCAUCAAACCUGACCUUUAAAAAAACAGAAUGAUUGGCUAAUUAUCAUCAACUGUUUUUUAAAUCAAUCUGUCAGAAUUCAAAUAGAGCAAUUUUCAGGGUAUUCUAAAAACUGAAUUUAAAUAAAAAAUAGCAAUUAUUUCAGAAUGACGGUAGGAGUCAUGGUGGCCCUUGCAGUACCUGUUGCAACCUUGUGUGGGAAUCAUUCCUGAGCCUGACUUUCCCGCUUGGGACACAGAGAAUGCAAGACCAGGCAGGCAGCUGCUGAUUUGGUACCAGUCACUUCAGGAAAUCAAAGAAAGCUGGAAAGUUGUUGGGAGCUAGUUUUGCUGGAGAGCUCUCAGAAAGAGGCGCCCAUCAUGACUGCCCUGGGGUUUGCUUGAGAAGUAACCAGACUCCCAGAGCAGGGGGAAAAGAGGCACCUGACCUGAAAAUAAAGAUUUGAGGCUCUGAGGAACAGUUUCAGGUGCUGUAGAAGGGAGCAGCAGGUUCUAGGGGAACCAAAGGGUUCAGAGAAGCAACCUCCUCUUCCUGCUACUGCCACAAAGACUCACCUUCAAGGGAAUGUCUUGCACUGCCUGAACAUAAAAAUUACUCUAAGUAGGAAAAAGUGUGUUUAUUCUCUGAAAAAAGAAAAUUCACAAUAUUGAGUGCUCAGAUUUCUCCCUCUCAGGCUGUCAUCUAUAUGCACAAAGUGUUUUGACUUUACAGUUAAAAGAAAAUCCCAAGGGUAAAAUAGUUUUUACUUUUUUAAGACACGUGUUUUCUAUUUUUUUCUCUUUUCUUGUGUUAAAGUUGGAAAUGAGUUACGAAAAAAAGAAGUACUUGUUUAUUUCCAGAUGGAGUGGGUUAAAGAGAGAAAGGGAGGAGCUCACCAGGAUUGAUAUGGGGACACUGGGUAGCCUCCGGACACCUCCAGAAGAAGGGAUUAUUGAGAAAGUAUAUUAUAUAUUUAAAAACAUUUUCUUAAACACCAUGGGGGAAGGGGAUGAGGUUGGGGAAUACGUUUUUACUUCUAAACAACCAUGUAUUCCAGAGUUGUCAAAUAAACAUUAUUUUUAUUUCA